CGGCGGCUCCUUCAACCCCGUCACCGUGGCCAAGACGGCUUUCUUGGGAGUAGGGACAUAGUGGUCCUCCAUAUCCAGAGCCCUGAGGCUGACAUCUGGGGUCUCCCAUGGCGGCCUCUCAUCCAGCAGCAGGCUCGUAAGACACUGGUCCAUCCCCCCGUCGCUCGCGAGGACAUCUGACAUCCUUUUGUUGUCGAAGGCCACAAAGUUUUUCCUUGUUGUGCCGGAGGAAGUGGAAAAGAUCUUCUUACUGUUGCUCUUUUUGGAACGGGACGGUGGUGGGAGCCUUUUAGGAACCCAAGUAUCCGGAGAGACAUCGACCGUCUCAGCGAUGUGUUGAGGCGACUCCUCGUUGUACGUACCAGCAGCUACUCUGCUGGUUCUGAGAGACAAAAUUGACUUUUUGUGUGUACCGUCCAGAACAACCUUUCCUGUUUGCGUGUCGUCCUGGUGAGGUGGCAGUUCCUGAUCUUGAGGCCCGUACCCUUGAGGGCUGUAGCUCUGUUGGUGCCUACUCUUCUCUACUUUCUUCUUUCUGACGUUGAAAGGACAUGCUGAUUGCUCACUCCAUGCUGCUCUUAUCCCAUUGGAACAGGUGGCCUCGUCCCCUGAACUUCCUCGUAGGGACGCUUGCGUGGCAAAUGGGUCUGAUCCGAAACAUCUACCUUGUCACAGUAAUUAGGACCGGAGAACCUGUGCAGAGUGGCUUCCGAAACCUGCCUCGGUGAACUUGCAACUGAGGCAUCUUGUUGUCCUUCUGACCCACGCGGAGAUGCUGAAGAUGGCGUCAGGAUGCUGGCUCCAGUACUGAUAUCUGGGUAACCAGCCUCUGGAAAACCCAAGUCCCCGCCCCCAAGCUCAAAAGCGUUUCCGUCCUCUGAAAAAACAUGAUUGGGUGACCAUCUUGCAUCUUCCCUGACUGUGGGGACGUGUCUGUCAGGCUCUACGACGUCACAGCCGCUAUACUCAGGUAAGGCAAUACUCGGGUAACUCUGAGGUUUCUUCUGUAUCGUGUUCGGUCCGUCACAAGCUUUAGCCUUGCCAAAUCUGGGGAUGCGAGACACAACCUUAUGUGUACCAGAGGCCUCUUCUGUACGAUCCUCUGAUAGUGGCAGAGCAGCAGUGUGCACAUGUUGGGUUUCUACUAACCCGCACUCUGUAGAGUCUCUGUCUUCUGGCCUCCCUGGUUUCUUGUUUCUUUUCUUUUCCUUCUUUGCCUUUACCACUGGUGCGGCUUGGUCUUUAAUCUUAGGCUCGUUUGUGUUUCGGGAUUUCUUCUUGGUGUCGACGAUGAUUAUUUCAGUGGCAUCCCUCACGGUCAUCUCCAUGGUGGUGUUCAGGAGCAAAGUCACCUCCUGUCCACCUCUGUGGUCGUUAUCGUUGUUGGAGGUGGUGGUGGUGUUGUUGUUGUUGGAGGCGGUGGUCAACUCCUGGGCUGAGCUUUUCUGAAGAUCGACAGAAACGCUCAAUCGUUUGUUUUCAGAUGCAACAACAGCUGCAGGGGUGUGACUGUUUUGAGGGCAUGAAGGCAGCAUAGAGUGACUGUCCCUGUCCGGGCUGAGUCCUGGAAUACUGUUCCACAUCCUCCCUCAAGCUACUGGUUUGACUGGUUGUUCUCCAUCGGGCCAACUGCACAGCUUCAUCAGAAGUAUUU
ensembl:lncRNA